AUUGAACGCUGGCGGCAGGCCUAACACAUGCAAGUCGAGCGGUAGAGAGAAGCUUGCUUCUCUUGAGAGCGGCGGACGGGUGAGUAAUGCCUAGGAAUCUGCCUGGUAGUGGGGGAUAACGUUCGGAAACGGACGCUAAUACCGCAUACGUCCUACGGGAGAAAGCAGGGGACCUUCGGGCCUUGCGCUAUCAGAUGAGCCUAGGUCGGAUUAGCUAGUUGGUGAGGUAAUGGCUCACCAAGGCGACGAUCCGUAACUGGUCUGAGAGGAUGAUCAGUCACACUGGAACUGAGACACGGUCCAGACUCCUACGGGAGGCAGCAGUGGGGAAUAUUGGACAAUGGGCGAAAGCCUGAUCCAGCCAUGCCGCGUGUGUGAAGAAGGUCUUCGGAUUGUAAAGCACUUUAAGUUGGGAGGAAGGGUUGUAGAUUAAUACUCUGCAAUUUUGACGUUACCGACAGAAUAAGCACCGGCUAACUCUGUGCCAGCAGCCGCGGUAAUACAGAGGGUGCAAGCGUUAAUCGGAAUUACUGGGCGUAAAGCGCGCGUAGGUGGUUUGUUAAGUUGGAUGUGAAAUCCCCGGGCUCAACCUGGGAACUGCAUUCAAAACUGACUGACCAGAGUAUGGUAGAGGGUGGUGGAAUUUUCUGUGUAGCGGUGAAAUGCGUAGAUAUAGGAAAGGACACCCCGGGGCGAAAGCGACCACCUGGACCAAUACUGACCUGAGGUGCGAAAUCGUGGGUGAGCAAACAGGAUUAUAUACUCUGGUUGUCAAGGGCAAAUCCACAGU
rnacentral:rRNA from 1 species